UACGUAGGGUGCAGGCGUUAAUCGGAAUUACUGGGCGUAAAGCGUGCGCAGGCGGUUUCUUAAGUCAGAUGUGAAAGCCCCGGGCUUAACCUGGGAACUGCGUUUGAAACUGGGAGACUUGAGUGUGGCAGAGGGGGGUGGAAUUCCACGUGUAGCAGUGAAAUGCGUAGAUCUACGAAGGAACGCCAAAAGCGAAGGCAGCUCUCUGGGUCCCUACCGACGCUGGGGUGCGAAAGCAUGGGGAGCGAACAGG
rnacentral:rRNA from 1 species